rnacentral:rRNA from 1 species
CCUACGGGUGGCAGCAGUGGGGAAUAUUGGACAAUGGGCGAAAGCCUGAUCCAGCCAUGCCGCGUGUGUGAAGAAGGCCUUCGGGUUGUAAAGCACUUUCAGUGGGGAAGAAAGCCUUGGGGCUAAUACCCUCGAGGAAGGACAUUACCCACAGAAGAAGCACCGGCUAACUCCGUGCCAGCAGCCGCGGUAAUACGGAGGGUGCGAGCGUUAAUCGGAAUUACUGGGCGUAAAGCGCGCGUAGGCGGUCUGAUAAGCCGGUUGUGAAAGCCCCGGGCUCAACCUGGGAACGGCAUCCGGAACUGUCAGGCUAGAGUGCAGGAGAGGAAGGUAGAAUUCCCGGUGUAGCGGUGAAAUGCGUAGAGAUCGGGAGGAAUACCAGUGGCGAAGGCGGCCUUCUGGACUGACACUGACGCUGAGGUGCGAAAGCGUGGGUAGCAAACAGGAUUAGAUACCCGUGUAGUC